GCUAUUAGAUGAGCCUAUAUUAGAUUAGCUAGUUGGUGGAGUAAUAGCCUACCAAGGCAAUGAUCUAUAGCUGAUCUGAGAGGAUGAUCAGCCACACUGGAACUGAGAUACGGUCCAGACUCCUACGGGAGGCAGCAGUGGGGAAUAUUGGACAAUGGGCGAAAGCCUGAUCCAGCCAUGCCGCAUGAGUGAAGAAGGCCUUUGGGUUGUAAAGCUCUUUUAGUGAGGAAGAUAAUGACGGUACUCACAGAAGAAGUCCUGGCUAACUCCGUGCCAGCAGCCGCGGUAAUACGGAGAGGGCUAGCGUUAUUCGGAAUUAUUGGGCGUAAAGGGCGCGUAGGCUGAUUAAUAAGUUAAAAGUGAAAUCCCGAGGCUUAACCUUGGAAUUGCUUUUAAAACUAUUAAUCUAGAGAUUGAAAGAGGAUAGAGGAAUUCCUGAUGUAGAGGUAAAAUUCGUAAAUAUUAGGAGGAACACCAGUGGCGAAGGCGUCUAUCUGGUUCAAAUCUGACGCUGAAGCGCGAAGGCGUGGGGAGCAAACAGGAUUAGAUACCCUGGUAGUCCACGCUGUAAACGAUGAAUGUUAAAUAUGGGAAGUUUAC
rnacentral:rRNA from 1 species